GAAAGAUUAUGUUGCUGUAUAUUUGCACUAAUCACAGGACUCAUGUUGUUUUAAAUCAUUUGUUAAUUAUUUUAAAUUCUGCUUUUUAAUCUACUGCUGUUAAAUUUCAGAUUCUAUUAUACCAAGAAACUGGUUUACCGGGCCAGAGGAAGAGGAGUGUUACUGGCCACCUUCCUCCACUGUCAAGAGGGAAGAGACCCACAGGAGAUUGGAUGAAAUUCCAAGUGUGAGUUUUGGGAAAAGCUGCUGACUAUGCAGCUGCCAGAACAAAGCUGCGUAAAGCUGAAGUGACUUCAGAUCUUCAGACGGAUCCAGAACCAGAAAGAGCCAAGCGUAAAAAAAAAAGAAGCACAAACGCCAGUUCGCAGCACUCCAGCACAGACAGGUUCUACUAAUACUCCCUGCAUACAAGUUCAGCUCAGUGGAAUGGCAGUGAGGGAUGGAAUGUUUGUUCGUGUACAAUACUGGAAGAAAUUAAAGAGUGUCAAAAGGUUUGAAGCUGAGGAGUCUACAGGCACAGGAGUGACAACUUUUAUUUGAGUUUAGGGCAAACGUUUCCCGCGCAAGUUUGAAUCUCUCUGUCAGUCAGUCAGGGGGAGAUUAACUGACUGACUGUCUACACGCCACCAAACAGUCAGUUAUACAGAAACCUUUUAAGUUUAGUUUGAAUCUCUCUCAGUCAGUCAGGGGGAGAUUAACUGACAGACUGUAUAACGUUACAGGCCACCAAACAGUCUUACCAUAAAACCUUUUACAGUUUAGCACAAAUGUUUCCCGUGGAAGUUUGAAUCUCUCUCAGUCAGGGGGGAGAUUGACUGACAGACUGUCUACUUGCCACCAAACAGUAAUUUACCCUGAAACCUUUUACAGUUUAGCACAAACGUUUCCCGCGCAAGUUUGGAUCUUUACCAUUGAGGGUGGCUGACUGUUUUCAACCAACCAUCAUUCACACGCAAAAACUUUAAAGAUAAGUAUGAACGUGCCCAGAGCAGUUUUCGAUCUUUACCAUUAAGGAGGCUGACUGACUAUCCUCUACCACCCGUCAUUAACACAAGAAAAACUAAAGAAAUGUUACUCCAUAUGGACCUAUUCAUUUACUCAUUAUGCUGUGAGUACACCAGUUUUAUCAGGGAAAAAAUUUAUAUUUGUGUUUCUCACUGCUUGACAAGGACAGAUGUGGCCCUGUUAAAAAUGUUUAAAUGUCGUUUGGUUUAAGGAACAGCACACUGAUUUUGUUUUAAAAUAUUCCUGUUUGGACAGUCUGUUAAAGUCAUAAAGGAAUACUUGAUAUAUUUCAUAAGUAAAGUGUAAAUGUAAUAUUAGUUUUUAAUGUUGUGAAUUUGGACUGAACAGCACACUUCUGUUUUAUAUCUAAACCUUUUGUAAAAUAAAUGAUUGUUCAAUAAACUGUGUAUUUUAUCUU